ACUGAGCUUCUACAAUAAGUGGUCUCCUUUCAGCCUUCUACAAGAACCAGACUCCGUCCAAACUUCCAUAGUGGAUGGAUAUCGGACGAGCUUCUACGACGGACGGACUCCGACAGCUGAAUUUCUACAACGGCCGAUCGCCUCUAGUGUCUGUCGAACCUCCCUAGCCAUCACCUUCAAUAGCAUUAGCCGAACUUUCGCAA
rnacentral:lncRNA from 1 species